rnacentral:rRNA from 1 species
UACGAAGGGUGCAAACGUUGCUCGGAAUCACUGGGCGUAAAGCGCCCGUAGGCGGAUUGUUAAGUCAGGGGUGAAAUCCUGGAGCUCAACUCCAGAACUGCCUUUGAUACUGGCGAUCUUGAGUCCGGGAGAGGUGAGUGGAACUGCGAGUGUAGAGGUGAAAUUCGUAGAUAUUCGCAAGAACACCAGUGGCGAAGGCGGCUCACUGGCCCGGUACUGACGCUGAGGUGCGAAAGCGUGGGGAGCAAACAGG